AACCAGCUCUUCAAGUGGUCGGGAUAAUUAUUGGGCUUAAAGUGUCCGUAGCCGGUUUAGUAAGUUCCUGGUAAAUCGGGUAGCUUAACUAUCUAUAUGCUAGGAAUACUGCUAUACUAGAGGGCGGGAGGAGGUCUGAGGUACUACAGGGGUAGGGUGAAAUCUUAUAAUCCUUGUAGGACCACCAGUGGCGAAGGCGUCAGACUGGAACGCGCCUGACGAUGAGGGACGAAAGCCAGGGGAGCGAACCGGAUUAGAUACCCGGGUAGUCCUGGCCGUAAACGAUGCAUACUAGGUGAUGGUACGGCCAUGAGCCGUAUCAGUGCCGUAGGGAAACCGUUAAGUGUGCCGCCUGGGAAGUACGGUCGCAAGGCUAAAACGUUAAAGGGAAUUGGCGGGGGAGCACCGACAAGGGGUGAAGCCUGCGGUUC
rnacentral:rRNA from 1 species